rnacentral:misc_RNA from 1 species
GUUUAUAGUUUGUACAUUAUAGCACAAAAAGACAUUCCGUUACAUUCAAGAGUGUAAAAAAAGUACUCUCAGUCAUUACAACCUCGAGUCAUAGAUGCACAGGUGUGUGUGGAUUUGCGACCGAGCGUGCACAUGUAGGGUGACCCCUACCAGCAACAACUCGGCCGACUUUGUAAUUCAUUAAUGAUCCUUCCGCAGGUUCACCUACGGAAA